rnacentral:rRNA from 1 species
UACAGGGGGGGCAAGCGUUGUUCGGAAUUACUGGGCGUAAAGGGGUAGUAGGCGGCCAACUAAGUCCGACGUGAAAUCCCUGGGCUCAACCCAGGAACUGCGUCCGAUACUGGUUGGCUUGAAUCCGGGAGAGGGACGUGGAAUUCCGGGUGUAGCGGUGAAAUGCGUAGAUAUCUGGAGGAACACCGGUGGCGAAGGCGACGUCCUGGACCGGCAUUGACGCUGAGGCGCGAAAGCCAGGGGAGCAAACGGG